CCAAUAUAACAUCUAAAUUACUUCAAUCUAGUUUACAGCCAUCAUCAAUCCCUACUUAUCGCCGGGCCUGGAACCUGUAUAGCCAGUUUUCAAAUGUAGUUUUCCAUACAGCUUUAGUAAAUUUGCCCAUAUCGCCUUCUAAUUUAGGUUUGUUUAUAGCCUACAUGUUUCAGCGCAAUUAUGCUGCUUCGACUGCGAACACGUAUGUCUCUGCACUGGGUUAUUAUCAUCGCCUUGCAGGCGUGCCAGACCCAACUAGGGUCUUUUGGGUGAUUGAAAUGUUGAAAGGGUAUGGCAAACUUGGGUCGCGCUUGGAUACACGCAUGCCCAUAACUCUUUCUAUCCUUCGCACGGUGUUGCAACAAACAUCAACCAUAUGUGCGAGCGAAUACCGUGCGUGUAUGUUUAAAGCAAUGUGUACAACGGCAUUUUUUGCCUUUUUACGUGUUGGGGAAAUCACUUGUUGUCCCAGGUCAUCGAGUGUGCUUCAGUUAAAUCAGAUUGUCCAACUUGUCGACCAUUCAGGCGGCGUAAUUGGACUGAAAAUCACAUUUUUUUAUUUUAAGCAUUCUUACAACCAAACAAAUGUAUCAAUCACUCUUAAGCGUCGUUCAGAUAUAUGCCCAGUGCAGAGCUUACUGGAUUAUUUUUCACGCCGUGGUUUGUCGGAUGGCCCGCUUUUUCGAACGCACGAGGGCCACGCGGUUUCACGCAAACUUUUUACUGACUAUUUAGCACUCAUUUUCAAGACAUGUGGUCUCGAUCCAACUAAAUACAAAGGACAUAGUUUCCGCAUUGGCGCGGCAACAUUUGCUGUGGAAUGCGGUUUUUCUGAUGCCCAAAUUCGAUCAAUGGGUCGGUGGAAAUCCGACGCCUUUCGUAAGUAUAUUCGAGGUCCAGGCCUGUGC